GAUGAACGCUGGCGGCGUGCCUAAUACAUGCAAGUCGAGCGAAUAGACGAGGAGCUUGCUCCUCUGACGUUAGCGGCGGACGGGUGAGUAACACGUGGAUAACCUACCUAUAAGACUGGGAUAACUUCGGGAAACCGGAGCUAAUACCGGAUAAUAUAUUGAACCGCAUGGUUCAAUAGUGAAAGACGGUUUUGCUGUCACUUAUAGAUGGAUCCGCGCCGCAUUAGCUAGUUGGUAAGGUAACGGCUUACCAAGGCAACGAUGCGUAGCCGACCUGAGAGGGUGAUCGGCCACACUGGAACUGAGACACGGUCCAGACUCCUACGGGAGGCAGCAGUAGGGAAUCUUCCGCAAAGGGCGAAAGCCUGACGGAGCAACGCCGCGUGAGUGAUGAAGGUCUUCGGAUCGUAAAACUCUGUUAUUAGGGAAGAACAAAUGUGUAAGUAACUAUGCACGUCUUGACGGUACCUAAUCAGAAAGCCACGGCUAACUACGUG
rnacentral:rRNA from 1 species